rnacentral:rRNA from 1 species
GUGGGGAAUCUUGCGCAAUGGGCGAAAGCCUGACGCAGCCAUGCCGCGUGAAUGAUGAAGGUCUUAGGAUUGUAAAAUUCUUUCACCGGGGACGAUAAUGACGGUACCCGGAGAAGAAGCUCCGGCUAACUUCGUGCCAGCAGCCGCGGUAAUACGAAGGGGGCUAGCGUUGCUCGGAAUUACUGGGCGUAAAGGGCGCGUAGGCGGACAGCUUAGUCAGAGGUGAAAGCCCAGGGCUCAACCUUGGAAUUGCCUUUGAUACUGGCUGUCUUGAGUUUGGGAGAGGUGAGUGGAACUCCGAGUGUAGAGGUGAAAUUCGUAGAUAUUCGGAAGAACACCAGUGGCGAAGGCGACUCACUGGCCCAAUACUGACGCUGAGGCGCGAAAGCGUGGGGAUCAAACAGGAUUAGAAACCCUGGUAGUCC